rnacentral:rRNA from 1 species
AACGCUAGCUACAGGCUUAACACAUGCAAGUCGAGGGGUAACGAGAGGAAAGCUUGCUUUCCUUGUCGACGACCGGCGCACGGGUGAGUAACGCGUAUCCAACCUGCCCCCAACUAGGGAAUAACCUUGUGAAAGUAAGACUAAUACCCUAUAAUUUCCUCAGAUGUCAUCUGACGAGGAAUAAAGAUUUAUCGGUUGUGGAUGGGGAUGCGUCUGAUUAGCUUGUUGGCGGGGUAACGGCCCACCAAGGCAACGAUCAGUAGGGGUUCUGAGAGGAAGGUCCCCCACAUUGGAACUGAGACACGGUCCAAACUCCUACGGGAGGCAGCAGUGAGGAAUAUUGGUCAAUGGGCGGAAGCCUGAACCAGCCAAGUAGCGUGCAGGAUGACGGCCCUAUGGGUUGUAAACUGCUUUUAUACAGGAAUAAAGUUAGCCACGUGUGGUUAUUUGUAGGUACUGUAUGAAUAAGGACCGGCUAAUUCCGUGCCAGCAGCCGCGGUAAUACGGAAGGUCCAGGCGUUAUCCGGAUUUAUUGGGUUUAAAGGGAGCGUAGGCCGUCUGUUAAGCGUGUUGUGAAAUGUAGAUGCUCAACAUCUGAAUUGCAGCGCGAACUGGCAGACUUGAGUGUGCGCAACGUAGGCGGAAUUCGUGGUGUAGCGGUGAAAUGCUUAGAUAUCACGAAGAACUCCGAUUG